AUUGAACGCUGGCGGCAGGCCUAACACAUGCAAGUCGAACGAGUGGCGGACGGGUGAGUAAUGUCUGGGAAACUGACUGAUGGAGGGGGAUAACUACUGGAAACUGUCGCUACUACCGCAUACCAUAGGAUGUGCCCAAGUGGGCUUAGGUAGUUGGUGGGGUACAGUCUCACCAAGGCGACGAUCCCUAGCUGGUCUGAGAGGAUGACCAGCCCCACUGGAACUGAGCCACGGGCCAGACGCCUACGGGAGGCAGCAGUGGGGAAUAUUGCACAAUGGGCGCAAGCCUGAUGCAGCCAUGCCGCGUGUAUGAAGAAGGCCUUCGGGUUGUAAAGUACUUUCAGUAGGGAGGCGUUACCCACAGAAGAAGCACCGGCUAACUCCGUGCCAGCAGCCGCGGUAAUUC
rnacentral:rRNA from 1 species